GAGAGCCGUGUGAGGUGAAAGUCUCACGCACGGUUCGGAAUGGGAGGAGAGGAAGGUGACUUCCUUUUCGACCCCUAAU
rfam:Crocosphaera watsonii WH 8501 ctg295, whole genome shotgun sequence.